rnacentral:rRNA from 1 species
AUUAGAGUUUGAUCAUGGCUCAGAUUGAACGCUGGCGGCAUGCCUUACACAUGCAAGUCGAACGGCAGCACGGACUUCGGUCUGGUGGCGAGUGGCGAACGGGUGAGUAAUGUAUCGGAACGUACCUUUCAGUGGGGGAUAACGUAGCGAAAGUUACGCUAAUACCGCAUAUUCUGUGAGCAGGAAAGCAGGGGAUCGCAAGACCUUGCGCUGGUUGAGCGGCCGAUAUCAGAUUAGCUAGUUGGUGGGGUAAAGGCCUACCAAGGCGACGAUCUGUAGCGGGUCUGAGAGGAUGAUCCGCCACACUGGAACUGAGACACGGUCCAGACUCCUACGGGAGGCAGCAGUGGGGAAUUUUGGACAAUGGGGGCAACCCUGAUCCAGCCAUGCCGCGUGAGUGAAGAAGGCCUUCGGGUUGUAAAGCUCUUUCGGCCGGGAAGAAAUCGCAUAGGCUAAUACCCUGUGUGGAUGACGGUACCGGAAUAAGAAGCACCGGCUAACUACGUGCCAGCAGCCGCGGUAAUACGUAGGGUGCGAGCGUUAAUCGGAAUUACUGGGCGUAAAGCGUGCGCAGGCGGUUUCGUAAGACAGAGGUGAAAUCCCCGGGCUCAACCUGGGAACUGCCUUUGUGACUGCGAGGCUAGAGUACGGCAGAGGGGGGUGGAAUUCCACGUGUAGCAGUGAAAUGCGUAGAGAUGUGGAGGAACACCGAUGGCGAAGGCAGCCCCCUGGGCCGAUACUGACGCUCAUGCACGAAAGCGUGGGUAGCAAACAGGAUUAGAUACCCUGGUAGUCCACGCCCUAAACGAUGUCAACUAGGUGUUGGGUGGGUAAAACCAUUUAGUACCGUAGCUAACGCGUGAAGUUGACCGCCUGGGGAGUACGGCCGCAAGGUUAAAACUCAAAGGAAUUGACGGGGACCCGCACAAGCGGUGGAUGAUGUGGAUUAAUUCGAUGCAACGCGAAAAACCUUACCUACCCUUGACAUGUCCAGAAGCCCGAAGAGAUUUGGGUGUGCCCGAAAGGGAGCUGGAACACAGGUGCUGCAUGGCUGUCGUCAGCUCGUGUCGUGAGAUGUUGGGUUAAGUCCCGCAACGAGCGCAACCCUUGUCGUUAAUUGCCAUCAUUUAGUUGGGCACUUUAACGAGACUGCCGGUGACAAACCGGAGGAGGGUGGGGAUGACGUCAAGUCCUCAUGGUCCUUAUGGGUAGGGCUUCACACGUCAUACAAUGGUCGGUACAGAGGGUUGCCAAGCCGCGAGGUGGAGCCAAUCCCAGAAAGCCGAUCGUAGUCCGGAUUGCAGGCUGCAACUCGCCUGCAUGAAGUCGGAAUCGCUAGUAAUCGCGGAUCAGCAUGUCGCGGUGAAUACGUUCCCGGGUCUUGUACACACCGCCGUAAU